rnacentral:rRNA from 1 species
ACGGGGGGUGCAAGCGUUGUUCGGAUUUAUUGGGCGUAAAGCGCGUGUAGGCGGUUUGUUAAGUCUGAUGUGAAAGCCCUGGGCUCAACCCAGGAAGUGCAUUGGAUACUGGCAGACUUGAAUACGGGAGAGGGUAGUGGAAUUCCUGGUGUAGGAGUGAAAUCCGUAGAUAUCAGGAGGAACACCGAUGGCGAAGGCGGCUGCCUGGGCCGAUAUUGACGCUGAGGCGCGAAAGCGUGGGUAGCAAACAG